UACGUAGGGUGCAAGCGUUGUCCGGAAUUAUUGGGCGUAAAGAGCUCGUAGGCGGUUCGUCGCGUCGGCUGUGAAAACCUGAGGCUCAACCUCAGGCCUGCAGUCGAUACGGGCAAACUAGAGUAUUGCAGGGGAGACUGGAAUUCCUGGUGUAGCGGUGAAAUGCGCAGAUAUCAGGAGGAACACUGGUGGCGAAGGCGGGUCUCUGGGCAAUAACUGACGCUGAGGAGCGAAAGCGUGGGGAGCGAACAGG
rnacentral:rRNA from 1 species